GUGAGUCAUCGAGUCUUUGAACGCAAAUGGCACUGUCACGACGAGUGAUAGUAUGUCUGUUUGAGAACCAUAAAAACACUCACCACUUUAUUAGUGUGUAGACUUGUCCCCUUUACAUUUUGUGUGUAAUGGGAUUAAAUGAAUGAUGCUGCGUAGAUUACACAGAAUAUGUGAUAAUAUCUUCAUAUUCAGAGUGAUCUUUUAUACGUGCAUGUAUCCAGUAGCAUACUAUUUUUUUAGUAUGCACACCUUUAAAAACAUGGUCUCAAAUUAGACAAGGUUACCCGCUGAACUUAAGCAUAUCAAUAGUGACGAA
rnacentral:rRNA from 1 species